UAGUAUUUUUUUAACUAUGUCUGCGUUCACGGGAUGUGGGAAGUCUUUGCCAUCCAUCGUAGCAAGUAUCAUGGCUCCACCAGAGAAUACCUUCUUAACUACAAAUGGCCCUUCGUAUGUGGGAGUCCAUUUGCCUCUGGGGUCACCUUGUGGUAGGAUGAUACGCUUGAUCAUCAAGGCGCCAAGUUGGUACACCUGUCUCUUGACCUUUUUGUUAAAUGCUUGGGUCAUGCGCUU
rnacentral:lncRNA from 1 species